CCUGGAAAGGGGCGCCAG
rnacentral:snRNA from 1 species